UACGUAGGGACCAAGCGUUGUUCGGAAUUACUGGGCGUAAAGGGCGCGUAGGCGGCCUGUUAAGUCGGACGUGAAAUCCCUCGGCUCAACCGGGGAACUGCGUCCGAAACUGGCGGGCUUGAAUUCGGGAGAGGGAUGUGGAAUUCCAGGUGUAGCGGUGAAAUGCGUAGAUAUCUGGAGGAACACCGGUGGCGAAGGCGGCAUCCUGGACCGACAUUGACGCUGAGGCGCGAAAGCCAGGGGAGCAAACGGG
rnacentral:rRNA from 1 species